GAUGAACGCUGGCGGUGUGCCUAAUACAUGCAAGUCGAGCGAACAGACGAGGAGCUUACUCCUCUGACGUUAGCGGCGGACGGGUGAGUAACACGUGGAUAACCUACUUAUAAGACUGGGAUAACUUCGGGAAACCGGAGCUAAUACCGGAUAACAUGUUGAACCGCAUGGUUCAACAGUGAAAGACGGUCUUGCUGUCACUUAUAGAUGGAUCCGCGUCGCAUUAGCUAGUUGGUAAGGUAACGGCUUACCAAGGCAACGAUGCGUAGCCGACCUGAGAGGGUGAUCGGCCACACUGGAACUGAGACACGGUCCAGACUCCUACGGGAGGCAGCAGCAGGGAAUCUUCCGCAAUGGGCGAAAGCCUGACGGAGCAACGCCGCGUGAGUGAAGAAGGUCUUCGGAUCGUAAAACUCUGUUAUUAGGGAAGAACAGAUGUGUAAGUAACUAUGCACGUCUUGACGGUACCUAAUCAGAAAGCCACGGCUAACUACGUG
rnacentral:rRNA from 1 species